rnacentral:rRNA from 1 species
UACGAAGGGGGCUAGCGUUGCUCGGAUUUACUGGGCGUAAAGGGCGCGUAGGCGGACAGUUAAGUUAGGGGUGAAAUCCCGGGGCUCAACCUCGGAACUGCCUUUAAAACUGGCUGUCUUGAGUACGGGAGAGGUGUGUGGAACUCCGAGUGUAGAGGUGAAAUUCGUAGAUAUUCGGAAGAACACCAGUGGCGAAGGCGACACACUGGCCCGUUACUGACGCUGAGGCGCGAAAGCGUGGGGAGCAAAC